GACCAGGUAUCUCAGGUGGUUAGAGUGUUGCUCUGAUAAGGCAAGGCUGUGGGUUCGAAUCCCAGUCGGGCA
rnacentral:tRNA from 1 species